UGGGGAGGGGAAGGGGCAGAGGCUUCCUGCGCCGGGGACCCGCAGGUUGGGCCUGCCUCUCUCUUCACGUUCUUCACACGCGCGGGUCAGGUGGGGUCGACCCGCCCCAAAGAGCCGAGGGGGCUUGGGCGGUGCUUGUGGGGAGAGGGCGGGGCAUCAAUGGAGAGCCUAGGCGCCGGUUUUCCCAGUGGACCAGAGGUAAGGCUCUCUGGGAGCUGAGUGCCUAGGGACUGUCGGCUGUGGCGGGGUUUCCCUUCCUGAAUUGGGCGGGGAAUCGGCGAUCUGGGAACUCCGUUGCUGGUUCUCCCACGCUUAGCUGGUCUUGGUGCUUGGGAGUGUGCUCCCGAGCUUGUCGAAGUUCGGCUCGGAGAAAAGCCGAGAGCUCUCCUCACCUUUGGGAAACUUCUAUCUGGCCGGACCCCCGCCUGCGGGGUCCCUUUCUCAGAGUUUCCUUUUCCACCACCUUCCCAUUUGACUCUGUCUGAGGUACCUUCGCUGGCUCCCCUUAGGAGUCGCUGCCCUGCUUCCCCCGGCUCCGCAGGCAGUCCGGCGCGCCUCGUGGCCACCGCGUCCGGAGAUGCUGCUUCGGCCCCUGGGCCGAGGGCUGCCCAGCCAUUCAAAGACUUUAAUAGAGAGAAAUAGGAUCAUAGCGUUUAGAGCUGGGAAAGAGCUUAACAAGUCCAACAAGCCUAUCCACUUAUUUAAAAGGUGAGGUACAGCUUCCUGGCCCUUAGGCAGUUUUUUUGUAUGCCACUAGUGAAACCUGCCGACUUCCCGUUUCUAAAUAACGUUUGAAAACGAGCAAAGUAAAACACAUAGUAUUUCAGAGGAAACCAAGUUAUUUAAAAAAAAAAUGCGUAUCAAGUUCACAACCCCUGGGCGAGAACUAUGGUUAGAUGACAAACCAAGUUCACACAAGUUAGUAGUUGUACCAAGGUCUGCUGACACUGGCUCUCUGCUUCCCCGUCGAACCCUUCACUUCUCUGUUCCCACCUCCAACGGAGUGUGUGUAUAUUGUAAGCCUUCGAGAUCAAGAAGGGAGUCUUCUUAUAAUCACAGAAUUUCAGAGUUGGAAGGGAUCUUGGCAAUGGUCUAGCACAAUCCAUAUACAAAGUACCAACCAAGUGGCAGAAUGACACCUGAGAUGAAUCAGCCCAAGAAUUACUGAUAUUGAUGAAUUCACAAAACCUCUGCUUCUUCUUCAGGGGACAAGAUUUCCCAGUCACUUUCCCAGCAUCAUCUGGUCAAAGUUCAUUUGAGUAGGUGGAAUAGAAGACAGAUUAAGGAUUUCCCUGAGAUAAGCAGGAAAGAAAGAAGAGAAGGAAACACAUAAGAAACUGCUAAAUCCUGGUUAACAACCUAAGAAGCUCGUGCCAUCAAGUUCUCUGUUAAAGUAGCAAAUGGAAAAGGGUUACUAACAACUUCACAGUAAGAUAGAAGCUGACCAGAGACCUAAGGAAAUACACAAUGGUAACAAAAAUGAGAAAAAAGUAUGCCUUAUUGUUUGGUCAUGUCUGACUCUUCAAGACCAUAUUUGAGGUUUUCUUGGCAAAGAUAUUGGAGUAGUUCUCCAGAUCAUUUUAUAGAAGAGAAACUGAGGCAAACAGUGCUAAGCAACUUACCCAGGGUCACACAAUUUGUGUCUGAGGCCAGAUUUAAACUCAAGAAGAUGAAUCUUUGUGACUUGACUCUAGACCUGGUGCUCUAGCCACUGCCCUCCCUAGCUUUCGCUGUCCUAGGGGACCUCUCAAUCAAGAGUUCCAAGAGUCAGCUUGAGAAAGCUGAGCUGGUAGUCUGAUAUAGCCAUAACUGUCAAAAACAUUAUUUGUCUUCUUGAAUAUAGGUAUUUUAGGAGGGAGGAAUGAACCAACCUUUGUAGCUACCAGUCUAGAGUCUCAUAGGCACUUAGAUUUGAAGUUGUUUUUCUAUAGGAUCAUAGUUUCAAUUUGGAAGUGAUCUUGGAGAUCAUUGAGUUCAAUCUCUUCAUUUUAAGAGGAAUCUGUGUCCCAUAAAGUUCCAGUGACUUGUCCAACUUUUCAAGGUAGUAAGUGGCAGAGCUGGGAUGCAACUCUAGGUCUUCUGACUUCAAAUUUCAAUCCCUGAGACCUCCCUUCUCAAAGUGGAAUUCAGGGGAGAGAGCAGAUGUAAAGGAAAAAUGGUUUGGGGGGAUGGUAAAGGGAACAGGAUAUAGGAGAGGACAGCUGGUGUUUAGGGUUGGCUCAGAGAGAGGAGAGGGGGUUUGAAGAUUUUCCCCCUUCUGUCUUCCCUCCUUAACUAUGGCUGCUCUUCCAGAUUUUCUCUUGUCCCCCUUCCACUACUCAAGACCAAAGAGCUUUUUCUUAAGAAGAUGCCUCUCCCCUUGAUCUGUUCACUCACACUUGAUUCAUAGCUUGGAGAAAAGAUCACUACUUUAAUGUCAAUUAACUCAAUCAGAGUAAUAAAGGAAUAACUGGCAGGGAAAAGAAUGGGAAAGGAAAGUGGGAAAAAGGAGACCCUUUUUUUUUCUCGCUAAAACCCUUUUCCUCCCUCCUCGAGUUUGGGGGGAACUCAGGCUUUGGCAGCCCAAGACCCAUGAGAGAAAGUCAGGUUGACUGACCCUGGGUUUGGCCCCUUGGCCACAGUUCAGACCCAGGGCAACAGGAGCUGAAGUAAAGUCUGACAGAGAUUCAAAAUGCCUUUUCUCAGGUUUUUUCUUCACUUAGUCUCUUCAAUUGGAAAAUGUUGGGGGAGGAAGGAUUUCCAGUCUCAAGGAGGAAAAAGUGGGUAACCCUCAGGAGAAAGUUUUACUCAACUUUCUCACUUCAACUUCUGCAGAUUGAGAGACCAAGUGCUCUUCUGAGGGAACUUCCUGCUUCUCCUCAAGAUUCCAUCCUCCUCCAGCCUGUCCCCCAUGAGUUGAUCAGAUCCACACAAUCUUCAGCCUAGCACUUUUUUUAUGUGCCAGCCUAUGUCACAAUAAUUUACAUAUUUUGUUUAAUAUCAAUAUUGUUUAAAUUAGGAAAACUUGACCCAGACUGGUUAACUGAAAUGACUAUUUUCCUGGAUUUGAUGCUAUCUAGACACUCUACAUUCAAUAUUCAGAGCCUUUUAUGAAUUAAUUUUCAACUUUUUAUUCUUCCACUGUUUUUGAAACCAAGCAGAUGUAUAGCAGAGCUGCAUUUUUAUGUGUGACAGUUCCAAAAUCUUUCUCCCAAGUGAAUGAUAAUGUUGAUGGAACCAUGGAAGCAACACCAACAAAGACAUUUUAUCAUUUCAAGGUUCCAUGGUCAGGAAAUCUAAUGUGCUACUAGAGAGUGCCUAAAGAUGAAUGUACAAUACUACCAAAAGCUUCUAAGAAGUCUAUUCAAAAGUGAUUAAAAUACAAUGAAUCUAGAUUUUUUCUUUGUGCAAGUAUAACCAAGAUAUAUUAUGAAAUUAUAUGUAUAUUAUAUUUAAUAUAUAUAGCAUUCUGAAGUCAGCAGAUGAUAUAAUCUAUUAAUAACUGCAUACUGUAUUGCAUCCUUUCAUGGACACUUUGAUUUAAAAUAAAAUAAAAUUUUGUUUUUUUAUUGAUA